rnacentral:rRNA from 1 species
GACGAACGCUGGCGGCGUGCUUAACACAUGCAAGUCGAACGAUGAACCCGGAGCUUGCUCCGGUGGAUUAGUGGCGAACGGGUGAGUAACACGUGAGUAACCUGCCCUUGACUCUGGGAUAACUGCGGGAAACUGUAGCUAAUACCGGAUACGACCCUCGGCGGCAUCGCCAGGGGGUGGAAAGAAUUUCGUUCAAGGUUGGACGCGCGGCCUAUCAGCUAGUUGGUGAGGUAACGGCCCACCAAGGCGACGACGGGUAGCCGGCCUGAGAGGGCGACCGGCCACACUGGGACUGAGACACGGCCCAGACUCCUACGGGAGGCAGCAGUGGGGAAUAUUGCGCAAUGGGCGAAAGCCGGACGCAGCAACGCCGCGUGCGGGAUGAAGGCCUUCGGGUUGUAAACCGCUUUCAGCAGGGAAGAAGCGAAAGUGACGGUACCUGCAGAAGAAGCACCGGCUAACUACGUGCCAGCCGCCGCCGUAA